rnacentral:piRNA from 1 species
ACCAAGAGCUCCCUUAUUCAUAAACGCCAG